CGCGCAGGCGGCUUCAGAAGUCAGGCGUGAAAGCCCCGGGCUCAACCUGGGAAUAGCGUUUGAUACUCUGAGGGUAGAGUACGGGAGAGGAGAGUGGAAUUCCCAGUGUAGAGGUGAAAUUCGUAGAUAUUGGGAAGAACACCAGUGGCGAAGGCGGCUCUCUGGACCGAGACUGACGCUGAGGCGCGAAAGCGUGGGGAGCAAACAGGAUUAGAUACCCUGGUAGUCCACGCUGUAAACGAUGUGUGCUAGACGUUGGGAGACGUAGUCUUCCGGUGUCGCAGCUAACGCUUUAAGCACACCGCCUGGGGAGUACGGCCGCAAGGUUAAA
rnacentral:rRNA from 1 species